UACGAAGGGGGCUAGCGUUGUUCGGAAUUACUGGGCGUAAAGGGCGCGUAGGCGGUGCCUCAAGUCAGGCGUGAAAGCCCCGGGCUCAACCUGGGAACCGCGCUUGAGACUGGAGUACUAGAGUUCGGGAGAGGAUGGUGGAAUUCCCAGUGUAGAGGUGAAGUUCGUAGAUAUUGGGAAGAACACCGAUGGCGAAGGCGGCGACCUGGUCCGUGACUGACGCUGAGGCGCGAAAGCGUGGGGAGCAAACAGG
rnacentral:rRNA from 1 species